UGGGGAAUCUUCCGCAAUGGACGAAAGUCUGACGGAGCAACGCCGCGUGAGUGAAGACGGCCUUCGGGUUGUAAAGCUCUGUUAUUCGGGAAGAACGAUUCGUUUGUGAACAAUGAACGGAAGUGACGGUACCGAAAGAGAAAGCCACGGCUAACUACGUGCCAGCAGCCGCGGUAAUACGUAGGUGGCAAGCGUUGUCAGGAAUUAUUGGGCGUAAAGAGCGCGUAGGCGGUAUGGUAAGUCUGUCUUAGAAGUGCGGGGCUUAACCCCGUGAGGGGACAGAGACUGUCAUACUGGAGUCUCGGAGAGGAAAGCGGAAUUCCUAGUGUAGCGGUGAAAUGCGUAGAGAUUAGGAAGAACACCGGUGGCGAAGGCGGCUUUCUGGACGAGCACUGACGCUGAGGCGCGAAAGCGUGGGGAGCGAACAGG
rnacentral:rRNA from 1 species